GCUUCACUGACUGAGCCACCCAGGCGCCCCUCUGCUGUAUUCUUUUCAAAGGAACCGGUUUAUGCAGUUGUGGGGGCUACAGAUCCGAAGUCUGACCCUCAGGCAGGAGUCCCGGGGCAGAAUUCCUUCUUGUUCAGGGAAACCUCAGUUUUACUCUUAAGACCUUUCAACUUAUUGGAUGUGGCCCACCCAUGUUAUCAAGGAUGGUCUGAGGACUACUGACCAUAGAUGUCAGCCACAGCAGCACCUAGCUUAGUGUGAGGCUGGAUCACCGGAUGCGUGGAAACCCACCAGUAGAGCAUUGCAUGUGGGCGCUGACACACUCCGGCUGGAAAAUUCCAAGGGACUAAAUAAGGUAACAGUCUGCUGUUAAGAAGAAAGUGCAUUAUAGUUCUUACCAUGUCUUGUCUGCAGCAGGUGGCCCAGUAUUGGAGUUACUAGACAACACUUUGCUGCUCGAAAGUGUCCAUGAUAUUCAUGCCCAAACCGUCAGCAUGUAUACUACAGUCCUCGCUCACUCUUUGGGUACAUUUCCUGGUGGUGUGUUUUGAGCAUAAGCCUACCUAGCGCUGCAGCCCAAGUGUACUGUGAUGCUGCCAGUCCACAUGAUUGCAGAAACUCUGUCUGCUUCAGCCAAAAAAUCAGUACCUUUGUAGCAGUCAACGAGAUAAUGCCAAAUCUGGAUAUUUCACAUAAUACGUACAGGCUGCAGUCACAACUUUCAAAGAAAAUGAUUGAGAGAAUUCAGCAGACGGGAAAGUUCGAGAAAGCAUAUGGAACCCCUUAGCAUCCUGAAGGUUAAUAUCCAUUUGGGCGGUCAGUGUUUCAAGUUACUGUUGCUCGAUGCCAGUGCUGUUAUGAAAGAAAAGUACAGUUUAUAAUGAGAUUAAUGAUUCCAUCAUCAUUGGCUCCUCGCCCACCAGGAACACCUAAGGGGCCGUUAAGGGUACCCUGUAAGUCUGCAGACACACGUGAGCUCUGGAGAUACGCAUCUGUACAGUACUUUGUUUUUGGAAAUCAAUAAAAUAAUGUAAGCAUUCAUCGAA